rnacentral:rRNA from 1 species
UACGUAGGGUGCAGGCGUUAAUCGGAAUUACUGGGCGUAAAGCGUGCGCAGGCGGUCUGCUAAGACAGGUGUGAAAUCCCCGGGCUUAACCUGGGAACUGCGCUUGUUACUGGCAGGCUUGAGUGUGGCAGAGGGGGGUGGAAUUCCACGUGUAGCAGUGAAAUGCGUAGAUAUGUGGAGGAACACCGAUGGCGAAGGCAGCCCCCUGGGAUGUGACUGACGCUCAUGUACGAAAGCGUGGGGAGCAAACAGG